UCGGGCACAAAUUCCCCUCCUCCCAGCUCCCCACCCCCAGAGAAAUAAACGAGUAAGCCAAUCACUAGGAAGAGUGUAGGUGUUUACAAAACAACCUUGUGCAUAUUAGCGAAGGUCUGGGAUGGGCAGGCGACGCGGUCUACGUUCCUUAAAAUCCAGGGUGAACUUCAAUGUCUACUUUCCUGCCAUUGGGUUUUGUGGGAACCAACAGCCCUGGAGAGAUCAGAAGCUUCUGUGGUGACUGCCCUUUGGGAAGUGUGGGCCUCUCCGAGGUGGUAAGCCAGAGCUCAUGAGUUCUUUCUUAAUUCCUUUGUGCUUUCAGCUGUUUUUUCAGAGCCGGAGCCAUUCUUUGGCACAUUGGUGUCUCGACCUUCACCAUGGCUUUGUAGUGUUGAGUUUGAGAGCAAACCCUUGCUCCUCUGAGACAUCGUCCUGUUUUACCCCUCACGGUGCUCCCACCUCACUCAGAUCACCAAUGCCCAGGCUCUCCAGCCAUCAGCCUCUUCUGCUCCUCUGAUGCCUGGUGAAGCUCUUUCAAGAGGCACUUUGCCACCAUCUUGUGAUCUGUUGCCCUCUACUCUCAGGGGUCACCCCUGGACUUGGCUUCAGCUCCCAAACUGCUGAACUUCACUGAAGCAUGUCUUGGAGUUGUAUGAACUGAGGCCAUAACAAAUGGCAUCACAUUAGCUUUCACGGGCCUCCUUCAGUUGAGUGCUACCUUGACUGUUUCUUUAAGACUAUGGGCCGUGUUUUGCUCAGCACAGUUCUAAAUCGUCUCCAUCAUCCUCAGCCUCCAACCCUGUCCCAGGCAAGGCAAAGAGAGGAUUCCUCCUUCAAGGGGAAAUUGAAGGUACCUGGAAGCUUCCCCAAGUUGGUGCUUCUCUAUCUCAAAUGUUCCUUGUUUCUUUAGGCUCCCUUUCUUCUCUUUGGUCUCUGAGAAGAGUUCUUUCUGAUUUCUAAAGUUCUGUUCACCUCUUCCCACCUUAUUGAAGACCAUUCCUUUAUUUGCUCAUCUCUUGACUAUAUGUUCAAUGCACAUACCUUGACUAUCUUUUACCAAAUAGGUACAUGUCCCUUCCAUCCUAAAAAAUAAAACACAAAAUAAUAAUAAAUAAAUCAUUCCCUUAACUCUGCUUCCUUUUCCAGUCAUUUCACUCAUGUCAUCAAAAUUUCUAAAUGAUUAGGCUGUCCCCACCCCUUCCUUUUAUUCUGACUUUGUCUUUACAUCCUAAACGCAUCCUACAACUGUUUUUUUUUUACAAAUCACCAAGGACUUCAUUUUUGCUAAAUCUCAUAGCCUUUCUCUCUCUUUCCCAUCUUUGUUCAAAUUAACAGAUAUUCAGUUAGCUCCUCACUAGGCUUUGUGCCCCCUCCUAGAGAGACAGAUUCAGCUCUUACCCUCCAGAAGCUCAUAGUUUCUCUACCAAGUGGGUCAGCCAGCUCUCCUUCCCUUCCUGACAACAUGAUUUUCCAUUCUCUGUCUUUUUUUUUUUUUUUCCUACUUCCCCACAGACCCUCUUCCGUAUUCUUUACCACUAUCCUCUACUGACAGUCUUUAAUUUGUCCCAGAAAUUAAAACAUUCACCAGGGCUCAUUCCUUGGCCCUUUUCUCUCUAUCCCCUCUUUCAGCAUUUGCCUUCAAUUGUCACCUCCAUUUCACUAACCCGGUCUAUCCUCCUGCCAACUUGUUCUCUCAUUUUGGAUUGAAAUCAUUAUAGCUUGCUAGAUAUUCCAAUGAAGACAUUCUGCAGGCAUCUCCCACUCGAAAUGUCCAGCACUGAGCUCAUCUUUCCCUCACCUUUCAGGCAUUUCCCCCAGCACAUAGACCUCCUCUGAGAACUUCCUCCACUCCAGGGUGGCCUUGAUUUACACGAUCCUACACCCUUGACCACAGCUGGUUGGAUCCAGUCUCUCAAGAAUAUGGAAUGAUCGUGGGAAGUGAUGUAAACUCAGAAGUGAGCCGCCAUCUUCAAUCACAUGUACGGAGAUGCAGAGAAGUCUGGCUUGUGAAAAGAAGCACAGAUGGAGCAAAGUGAGGUAGGGAUGUGGGUCGUGAAGACUUGGGAUGACUCAGUGCUACCGAGGAGCAACAUGGCGCCUGCUGGACUACCCAUUCCUGAUUCCUAUCCCUUGUGAGGUUCAGAUGUCUUUUCUGCCCUUACAUUUCAGAUAUAAUCCCCUAUUUUUAUAAUAACUUCUCCCUUUUCUACUUAAGUCAGCGUAAGUGGGCUUCAAAUGAAAGAAACUUGACCAUAACACUUUCAUUGCAUUAUGUUUUUAAUAGUAAGAACUCUAUUCUCUCAGUAUCUAGGCUGAAAACCCUCCUACCAUCUUUGUCUCUUUCCUUACCUCAUCCCAACUCCUCAUUCUGUUCCAUUACCCAACAUGCCCAGUGGAGUUGGUCUUUAAUAUUGCUCUUGGGAAAGGAAAAAGCUUUAAAAUUUGUCUUUUAUUUUCCUUCCUCCUAUCACCUCUUACCCAGAUAUUUCAGAGCCUCUUUCCUGGUUUUCCUGUUUCUGGUUUUUUUUUUUUUUUUCCCCAGUCCAUGAAAAGUCUUCAAUACUUGUUCGUUACACAUUGAAUGACAAUUAUACUUCUCACGUGAAGUUUCAGAUCUUACAUCACGAGUACCUAAACACCUAUCUUUCCAUUCUUAUCACAGGCUUUCCACCCUUGGAGGCCAACCUAUACAGACCACAUCAUCAGGGCCUCUCUGCACUUUGGUUUCUGGUUGUGUUCAGCCAGUUGGGAGCUCUGGAAGGAGAUGAGAGGGAGGAAGGUACAUUCAGAUAUGUAUCCCCUUAGUUCUCUCCCUUCAAGGUCCUUUUAGCAUGGCUACGUCCCUUGGCCAAAGGUCACUGCUUACCUUGAGGUGGCCUCUAUAUGACUUUCUAUCCUCCAGAUUCUGGCAACCUCUCUCUUUCCUCCUUUCUUAGGCCUUGGUUUUUCUGGUGCUUUAUUAUGGCUGGCUAUGGCUCCUUCCUUCUGCUGUGUAGUUUCCCUAAUCUCUACCUACAACAUUUUAAAGGGUUAUUUUCAAAUAAACACCCCUUGAGUUGUCCUAAA